GGGAAUAUUGGACAAUGGGCGCAAGCCUGAUCCAGCAAUGCCGCGUGAGUGAUGAAGGCCUUAGGGUCGUAAAGCUCUUUUACCCGGGAUGAUAAUGACAGUACCGGGAGAAUAAGCCCCGGCUAACUCCGUGCCAGCAGCCGCGGUAAUACGGAGGGGGCUAGCGUUGUUCGGAAUUACUGGGCGUAAAGCGCACGUAGGCGGUUAUUCAAGUCAGAGGUGAAAGCCCGGGGCUCAACCCCGGAACGGCCUUUGAAACUAGAUGACUAGAAUCUUGGAGAGGCGAGUGGAAUUCCGAGUGUAGAGGUGAAAUUCGUAGAUAUUCGGAAGAACACCAGUGGCGAAGGCGACUCGCUGGACAAGUAUUGACGCUGAGGUGCGAAAGCGUGGGGAGCAAACA
rnacentral:rRNA from 1 species